AUCAUUAGAGAGCUGAAAAUGUUUAUUCAUGAACCAAACAUCAAAUUCCUUCAAACUUUUCGUGAAAACUCGUGGCAAUUCUUUGGAUAGUUCAGCUUUGUGGGCGACCAGCAAAGAUUUUCUUCUUUGUAUAAAUCUCGCUCUAUCGUAGCUUAUGUUUGUGGGUUUCCGCUUUGUAGUUACUCUUUUUGCUUUGUGUUUUCUUUUUGUAGUUUUCGGACUUUAUCCGCUAUUUGUGCGUCUCUAUGAAUCUCUGUCAAAAUUUAGAAAAUACUAUAAAAUUUAACAUUCAUACCAAAAAAAAAAAAUCCUCCAAACUUACCUAUAAAAGAAUCUCCACCUCUAGGAAUAUAAAACAUUUAUUUUAUCAAACACUUUAUAGAUGUGAUACCAUAAUCUUAAAGCUAGGACGAGCGGAGGGUCGUGUUGACUAAGUCUAGACGACGAGUCGUAUUGACAAGCUAGGGUUCAUAUUCCAGGUAAAGAGAGCGGUUCAGGCCUCAUUGACAUCUGUGUUGCUCAACCUACUAUUAGGAACUUUGAACCCCGGCGAGUACUAUUGACUGCCAUGUUCGACCGUCGUAUUGACGGACCACUUAUGCUAACCUUAAGAAAAGAUAUAGAAUCGCGACUGUGUUUAGAAUAGAAAGAAACAAGGUUUAUGAAGAAGUUAGGAAGUCUGGAAAACUUAGAGAGAAGUUAAAGAGACAUUUUAGAGAGAGAGAAAGCUAUUAUGAAAUUUUUAUGAUAU
rnacentral:lncRNA from 1 species